rnacentral:RNase_P_RNA from 1 species
GAUGCCAGCCAGGCCGUCGCUGGUGCAUGGUGCCGAAAGGCCGCACUGGAGGAACGUCCGGACUGCACAGGACAGCGUAGGAGGUAACACCUCUCCACCGAAAGCCGCAAGGUAUAAGGUGCGGAUCAGAGCAACAGAGACGAGCCGCUUAAGUGCGGGUGAAACGGGCAAUCUCUACGCGCAGCAAUACCAAAUAGGCUAACACGCGGCGGGCAACCGCUGCAACGCGUGGUCCGCGUGGCGUUAGCGGGUAGGUAGCACCGAGCCGAGUGGGCGACCCUUGGCCCAGAGGAAUGGCGGUCACGGCGCGGCUUGCCGCGUCGCACAAAAUCCGGCGUAUCGGCUGGCUUCACAU